ensembl:lncRNA
GGAGUCCCGUAACUGCAUCUUGCGCACAAAGGCGGACUGGGGUCAGCAGCGAACCCCACCAGAGCACACCGAUCCCGAUGGCGCGGAAGGUGCUCUGCUAGCGGCAACGAAGAUGGAUAUUUAGUGCAAACACUGGGAGACCGACUGCCUCGAACAUUCCAAAGAGGACCUUCAGUGGGCAGAGUAGGUGGGCGAGGCUUCUGCUGCUGAAGGUCGCGGAGCCCUUCCGUUUGCCUCUCUCCCGGAUGCUUCUCCUCCUGUUUGCGCUUGCGGAAGGGGUGAAGUCAACACCCUUUUGUGUGAAAUGUGGGAUAGUUAAACCAUAUCGCAUUCUUAUCCUCGUCUGCACUUUCAGUGGUUCUGCCCUUCUGUGGUGGGCCUUCAGCCUCUCCACCUGGGUGAGGAUAGAAAUCCCAAGUGGCUCCCAAGUCCUUUUCAGCGCUCUUUUUGCAAUAUGCAGUAGUGAGAUCAAGUGUUGGAUUCCACUAUCAAAAUCAAGUAUCUGUGUGUUCCUUGCAUUACUGCUGCACUCUCUGCAUGUUUUGAAAGUAACCAACUUAUGCAAGGAUGCGAAAAUCACCUUUCUCUACCCUACUUUCAUCCUUUCAUUCAGCGCCAUACUAUUUUUCUUAUCUGGAAUCCUCUGCUUAUUCAGCUCCCAUCAUUGUUGGCUUCAGUGCGUCUUACAGCAACCAAUCCAAGUGAAACCUAUGCAAAUGUCAGUGGUCAGUGGGAACUCAGCAAUGGUCACAGAAAGGACACCGGGUAGAGAUGGCUAGCCUAACCUCAGUGGUGGUGAGAAAGCUGAUUUUAGAAGAAACAUGUCUCACCUGUAAUUCAAGAUUUCACAGCUAUACACACACUCUUAUUUAAUUACUGCAUAAGACUGGAAAGAGUUGGCUGGUUACUAAUCAUUGUUCAAGAUAUGGCUUAGGAUUCCGGGGACUUAGAUAUUCAUAAGAGAGAAAACACAGUUGGGGUGUGGGGAAAGUUGAGUGUUUGGCUCUUGGGGACUUGAAAUGAAAAAAACUUCUCUUCACCUUGAAGAUUCUUCUCUUGGCACCCAUUUCCCAACCCUCUUGCUGGUAUGCCUGGUCUCCUGGCAGUGGUUUUUUUUAGCAGUAACAAAACUCUCUCUCCACUAUAAAGCCUGAGUUUGAUAAAAACAAAUUUUUUUUCUGCUCUCUGGGAAUUUCAUGAGUGGAAUCUUUUCACUACUGUGUUAUUCGGGACUCUUUUUUUUUUUUUUUUUUUUUGCAUGUAACAAACCUUAUCCAAACUACCUUCAACAAAAAUUGAAUUUAUUGGAUGCAGGGGUUACCUCAUAGACUCAAAAAAAGUUCUGGUAGAAUCAGGGCUACAUGAGAGAGUUGGGGAGCUGGAAUCUUGAGAUCAUUUCCUCAGGAUACUAUUUUUUUAAACUAUCCACUGAAGGUUAAUGGAAUUUCUCAAUCCUUAAAAUGGAAGCACUAUCCUAAAUUCCUCUUGCUCAUCACUUUCAAUGAAUCACCAAAGCUUGUCCUUUCCACCUCAACAAGACUUCCGUUCCCCUCCCUGAGCCCUCCUCACUGGUCAUCGUGACCAGGUCUUUGUCAUCCCUGCCCAGACUGUGUUGUCUCUGAAUGUGGCUUGUCCCCCACUGUGGCCUACCUCUGCGAAGCUGCCCAGCUCGAGCUUCCUAAAAUACAGAGAUGAGAAUGUGCUCCUUAAAAGCCUAUUUUGCCUUCUUCUGGCCUUCAGGAUAAAUUCCUUAUCUUGAUAAAUAAAGUUAUUUACAAGUUGGCAUCAACC